rnacentral:rRNA from 1 species
AUUGAACGCUGGCGGCAUGCCUUACACAUGCAAGUCGAACGGCAGCACGGGGGCAACCCUGGUGGCGAGUGGCGAACGGGUGAGUAACAUAUCGGAACAUACCCUAGAGUGGGGAUAACGUAGCGAAAGUUACGCUAAUACCGCAUACGAUCUAAGGAUGAAAGUGGGGGAUCGCAAGACCUCAUGCUCCUGGAGCGGCCGAUAUCUGAUUAGCUAGUUGGUGGGGUAAAGGCCUACCAAGGCAUCGAUCAGUAGCUGGUCUGAGAGGACGACCAGCCACACUGGA